AGACUGGGCUCUGUUUCUCUCUCUUUCUCUGCUACGUCCACUACUAGAACCUUCCCCCACUCUCUCAAAUUUAGGGUUUCUCCAGGGUUUAUCACACACCAAAACCCCCUCAGACCCCAAAAAAAAUAAAAAAGUAAAAAAAAAGAAGCAAAAUUCCAAUUUCACUAAAGACUCAACCUUUCUGUUCGAUUGAUUGAUCGAUAGAGCUUCCCCCCCCCCAAAUGGGUGGCUCCAAUGGCGUCAGGCUCUUUUACUCGCUCGCUCGCAGCUCCAUUACCUCCGUAUACGCCAGAGUGCUUGGAGGUGGUUAUAGGACGUUUAACACUGGGAUUUGCAACAAUUCCAGGGUUUUAGGAAACUCUUCUUCUACUACUACCACUACUACUGCCAGUAAUGGCCUUGUGCUACAGCAAUAGGUGUUUGAUCAAGGGCAAACCUGUCAGUUGAUUGAACUCUGAUAAGUGUGUUCAAGGAACAUCCCUUGAUUCACUACAACAAAAUUGGCUAUAGGACACCAUCAGUUAAGGGUGCUUAAUAAUGGCAUAGGCCACUGUUUUCUUCAUUAGCCACAAUGCAGCCACCCAUGCAAUGUCAGUCCCCAUUGCCCCAGUUUCUAAUGCAGCAUAGAACACCAAUAAGUAAUCGGUGGCAAAACUUUUAACUUGACAAACAAUCUGUCACAUCAAAUAUGUCUUGUCAUUUGC